rnacentral:ncRNA from 2 species
CGGAAGGGCACCACCAGGAGU